GGGAGCAUGGUAGCUUAGUGGUUAGCGCGUUUCUCCUCACACCGCCAGGGUCGGGGGUUCGAUUCCCACUGCUGCCC